GUAGGUGGCAAGCGUUGUCCGGAAUUAUUGGGGCGUAAAGCGCGCGCAGGCGGUUCUUUAAGUCUGAUGUGAAAGCCCACGGGCUCAACCGUGGAAGGUCAUUGGAAACUGGAGAACUUGAGUACAGAAGAGGAAAGCGGAAUUCCACGUGUAGCGGUGAAAUGCGUAGAGAUGUGGAGGAACACCAGUGGCGAAGGCGGCUUUCUGGUCUGUAACUGACGCUGAGGCGCGAAAGCGUGGGGAGCAAACAGGAUUAGAUACCCUGGUAGUCCACGCCGUAAACGAUGAGUGCUAAGUGUUAGGGGGUUUCCGCCCCUUAGUGCUGCAGCUAACGCAUUAAGCACUCCGCCUGGGGAGUACGGCCGCAAAGGCUGA
rnacentral:rRNA from 1 species